rnacentral:tRNA from 1 species
CUCGCGAUAGCUCAGUUGGUAGAGCGGAGGACUGUAGUGGAAAUAUAUAAGAUAUCCUUAGGUCGCUGGUUCAAAUCCGGCUCGCGAGA